ensembl:lncRNA
CGCGGUCGCUAUGGUAACUCGUCCGGGUUUCUGAGGUUUCUGUCAACAGUGAGAGGAAUAGUGAAGAAAUGCCUUUCUCCAUUUUGCUCUAAUUCUCCCUUGGUCCCGGCACUACGAUUGUUGCAUCCCUCCACAUCUCCUAAGAUGUAGAAUCUCAGCUAUAUCUCCAGCACCAUGUUUGCCUACCUGCGUGCCACCAACUUCCUGCCCUGAUGAUAGUGGACUAAACCUCUUAAGUCUGCUUUACGAAAACUACCAGACUGGGUAAUUCACAAAGGCGGUAUCCUUUACUUUUCACUUCAAUUUCAAUCCAUUUUAGAUACUUUCUUCCUUUCUGGUAGAGAGAAAAUGAUGAGGGUCCCGUGGUUCCAGCCGCAUAUGUAGCAGAGGAUGGCAUUGUCUGGCAUCAAUAGGAGGCGAAGCCCUUUGUCCUCACACGGAAGACUAGAUGACGUCCUUUGGGGAGUGCGCAUUCUGAGAAAACUUACAUGAAGCAUCUAUAACCGCGCCCAGCUUAAGAUAAGGCACACCUCGUUUCAUCUCUUUGUGCUUCUGCACAGAAAAUCAGACCUUCUGUUGCAAGAUGGCCCUAAGGAUUUGACAUUGAUCACCAUCAUAGAAUUGGAACUUACAAAUAUUUUUCUCUUGGUAACACUCUGCAGAUGGUUAAGAGCCAGCACGUGGUUGCUGGGGAUUGAACUCAGGACACUGUAGCUAACCAUUGUCGGUAACUCCAGUUCCCGGAACUCCAGCACUGUCUCUGCCCUCCAUGGGCAGCCCACAUGCGAGUGAUGCACACAUACAUACAAGUAAAGCACCCGCACAGAUGCAGCAAAACUUUGAAGAAAGAUAAUUUGUUUCCAGCAAAUCUGGACUAUAAGAAUGUCUGACAAACAACUUAAAUCAAGAAAGAGAGUUUGUUCACCUCCUGACAGACAAGAGAUGGGGAGGUGCAGAAGAAAGAGAGAAGAACAGAGAGGAAGAGAGGGGAGGGAAAAAGGAGAGGAAAGCAGUCUGGGGCAAGAAAGAUCCAAGGACCCACUGUAGUGACUUACUUCCUUCAGCUGCAAAGUGGCUAUAAGUUUCAAGUGGUCCCUGAAAGAACACCUCAGCUGGACUCAACCCCUCAAAUCACAAGCCUUUUGGAAGACCAGUUCACAUCCAAACUGAACAGUACAUUUCCUAGAACACCAAAGUCUCAUGUGCGUCUCACAAGGUAAUAUUUGGUAUACCAAGGGUUCCCAAAGCCUUAUCAGUUCAAACAUUGUUGACAAUUUAGGUUCAAUUAAGAUCUGAGACUCAAGGCAAAUUUUUACUCUUAGGCUCUAUAAAAUAAAACAAGCGGUGAAUGUCAUGUUUGGUUGUUGCCUCUUAGAAGUCUGCUCUUUUCUGAAAGGAAAAAAAGGGGAGAGGAUCUGAGGG